GGGUGGAGGUGCACUCCCCCCACACCCGGCCGCGCUCCACCUCCCAGGCCCCGACCUCGGGGACCGAGGACCAGGACCCGAGCUGGAGGUAUGUUCCCGCCUACCCAUGUCAUUCCAGACAUGUUCACCUGGCCGCCAUGACCCUAACGGCAUCAAAGGAGCAACCAAGAGUUCAGCAAGUUCCUGGGACAGAAGAGAAAGAAGGGAGUUUCUGGCAUCUUGGAGAUGCUCACCAUUGCACUGGAAAGGAGCCUUGCAGAUAAGUAUUCAAACUUACCAGCCCAUAGCCUACCAGCCUGCCCUCUGCUGGUCUGUGCAGGAAAGUACAAUAUCCCAGAAUUCUCAAGGGGAAGAGAAAUCCAUGCAGCAGCUCAUUCACUUUCCCACCUCUACGCCACAAACAAAGCUUGUCCCUGAUUUACGGGGCCCCCAGAAAUAAUUUUCCUACCCCUUUUGGCAUCAAGGUUAGUAUUCUAUAAACUCCACCAUCAGGAGCUUCUGAGCUGAGUUUAAUGACCUUACCUUGAGCACCUGUAGAUGUGGAGUCAGAAGACUCCUUGAGAUGGGCUGGCCCUUUCCUCCUGAGUUCUGAUCCUCUAUCAUCAUAUUGAUACAGCUUGGCUAGGGCUCUUUUGCCUGGCAGUCAAGCAGGGACUUCAGCACUGUGGCCCCAGGGCACAUACUUCACAGGGUGAGGGUCCAAGUACAUCUCUAGCCCUGGACCCAUGCCUCAAGCUGAGGUACUGGCAGCAAGCUCAGAAAACAUACUGAGAGGGCCCCUGACUCUCCUGGCCCAGGUCUGCCAGUUGAUGGCCAUCACGAAAAGCAAAACCUGGGAGAUGGUCUUUGGUUAGGAUUCGUGGGCAUUCUCUGGGCUUCUCCAGACUUGUGACAUGGGGACUGCCUGCCAUCGGGUCCCCAAGCUUUUCCUGAUGCCUCAGAAGAGAAAGUGGAAGAGGAGGGCGGGUGCGGGAAGAUACCUGAGGUUGGGCAGAAGGGCCCCUUCUACGUCCCAUCCACUGCCUCCAGCUACAGGUUAUGACUGUACGCUUUGGGUGGAAGUCUGGACUGGAAAGGCCCUGCCUCCCAGAGAGACUUCCCACGGCAGCACGGGAGGCAGAGCUGGGAUUGGACUCUGGGUCCCCAGCUCUUGUCUGAUGCUCUCGUUCAAGCUGUCAUCCAGCUGAGUUUGCCUUGCUGUCUCUUGGGUGGGUCACGUUCUACCAUCGAUGGGGACAGGGAACCAAGGAUGUUCUGGGGCAGGAGGAAGGGUGGUGGGGGCAGAGUGCCUGGGCCCACCCUCCCUUGCUCCCAGGCCUUCCUGUUAGUAGAAAGUUCUGGCCUGGGCUGGCUGGGGAGGGGGCCUGGGUAUGGUUUUCUCCUGCGCUGUGUUUGGAUCCUUUGUCUUCCAGGAUGGGCCUCUGGGGUCUGCGUGGGGUAGGAGCCUGGGCUGCCAGCAUUUUGGCUGGGUGCUGUCAGCACAAGUAUGGACCACGUGACUUCUCCAGGAUGAUGCUGAGGAACCAGAGGUCAAGACGAGGUGUGGUCCCGCCCUCUCAGAUCUUCAUGCUUCUUGGCCCCGCAGCAUCUCCAGGACACCCAGUCUGGUCUUCUGGAGAGCCUGGGUGACCCUGGGCACAGUGACACAGGGAGCAGCCGCCGGUGGUUUUCUGGAUAAGACCUCACCUUUCCUGACUCCUGGGAUGGAGAAUCUCCUGGACAAAGGCCCCUCCUGGUUGGUGCCCAGCCAAAGACAGGACCCAGCUCUGGAGGACAGCUCAAGGGGUGGGAGGAGGGCUGGCAGCUGGCCGCCCCCUCUGCUUCUCUCUGGCCCCAUCUGCCAGGCCCUCCUCCCCAGGCCUGGAGGCCCCUCCUGACCCCCCGUGGACUUGGUUUCUCCUUGCAGCCCUGCCAGCCAUCAGGCAGAGCUCCGCCUGGGCCAGGACAGGGGCAGGAACGUGGGAUGGGAGUCGGGUAGGAGCUGCAAGUGGGAGGCAGGUCGAUGCAGCCCUGGGGUGCCGUUGGCUGGAGUCUGUCUUGCGCUGUGUGAGUGAUUCUCAUUUUUGUGGGGGAUUCUUGGAUGGGGCCUUUUGGUGCUUCUUUUCUACCUGACAGUCAAAGGGAGAAGGCAGGAUGGGCCUGGGGGUGGGGGGUGGCUGGACCUCUUGCUGGGGUGUGGAGCUCUGGGAGGGGCAGUGAUCCUGAAAGGAGAGCAGUUCUGAGAGAUGAGAGACCCUGCCUGGGGGAGGGUCUUGCAGAAGGAGCCAGACACUGGGCCUUGGUCCUGCCAUCCAAAGGGAAUGUUCUGGAAUUGGCCUCACCUCAAGGCUUGAGAGGUCACCCCAGCUCCAUCUCAGACCCCUGCUCCUUGUCACAAUCCUGUCCUUGGGGAGCAGAGACAGUUAGGGCGGGCUCCACACGCAGGCAGCUUCCCCUGUCACAGAGCUACACCCUCGCUUCCGUGCCCCAUCCCCAUUCUCGCCUCUUCCAGCCCCUCAAGGGUGGCCCGUCCCAGGACUUGCAGGACAACAGGCUUCCUCAGGCAAACUUAAGAGCCUGAUGUCCUUUUCCCAGGGUGGUGAGGGACCUGUGUUAGUCUGCCUGGGCUGCUGUAACAGAAUACUGUGAUUCAGUGGCUAGAACAGCAGAAAUGUAUUUUCUCAGGUUCUAGAGGCUGCAAGUCCCAGAUCAGGGUGCUAGAGAUGGUUUGUCCUGAGGCCUCUCUCCUUGGCUUGCAGAUAGAAACUUCUUGCUCUGUUCGCACAUGGCCUUUUCUCUGUGCAUACACAGGGUGAGAAGGCGAGAGAGAAAGAGAGGGAGAGAGAGAGAGAAAGAGAGGGAGAAAGCAAGGGUGAAGGAGAAAGCGAGGGUAAGAGAGAAAGGGAGAGAGAGAGAAAUAAGGGAGGGAGGAGGAGAAAUAGAUGACUGAAGUCUCUUCCAUUUCCGAUAAGGGCACCAGUCCUGUGGGGUUAGGGCCUCAUUCUUAUGACCUCAUUUAGCUGUAAUGACCUAUGUUAAAGCCUAUCUCCAAAUACAGUCACCUUAGGGGUUACAGCUUCAGCCUAUGAAUUUGAAGCCCGGUGGGGGGACACAGUUCAGCCCAUUGCAGGUGGUCAGAGCAGACAUGGAAAGCUGAAAGGCUCCCCUUCAGAACUCCCGCCCCCUAAUAGGGAGGGGAAGGAGGGGCAGAGGCAGGGGAAGGGCUCUGCUAGGCUGGCCCAGGAGUCUUGGGGAGACAGCAAAUGAACGGGCCCUCGCCCAGAGCAGCGAGGAGGAGCCCCAGGAGAGGGAUGCCUUGGGGAAGGGCAUGGGCUUUGGAGCCCGAGGGUGCGCCCUCUGCUGCACAGCCUUAGGCAAGUCGCCUCACCCCUGGGAGUCCGAUGUUCACUCUGAAACAGGAUUGCUCCCCUGGGGGGCACAGGGAGAAGUCAGUGAAAUCAUGCGCCUGGCUCUUAGUAGGUUUCAGUAAACACUCCCAUCUGUCGGGGAGUUCAGAUGUGGGCUUACCUCUUUUUGGUACUCUGGACUGUAAACUCAGCAUCUUCGGCCCAGAGGCGUUCCUAGCCUGUUUUUCCAUUUGUGUGUUCUUAAUAUUCCUCUCUAAGCAGAUCGAGCAAUCAGCUGCAUUGGCCUGGCCUCCACAGUAACUCCCAAUGCCUCCUUUAAUAUCUACUCCUCUCAUUGGAAGUAAGCGCCUGCUCUGAGCCCUUCCCCGAGCUGCUUACUUGAGGGGAAUGUAAAUGAAGACGUGCUCAUGACUCCAGCCUUCAGGGUUUCACAGCCAUUGGAAGAUGGGGCAGAAAGCAGUCUACUGAGGCACAGGUUCCCAGCGCUUGGGUGGGUGGGAGCAAGACCUCAGGGUAGGCUGGAAGGGCUUCCCAGCAAGGCUGAAUCAGUCAGGACCUUGGAGGAUGAGAAGGAUGUGGCUUAGUUGAGUUUCUAGGGGGACAGAGCACAGACUCCCAAAGUAGGUUCUAGGAGAUGUUAUUGCUCUUUUAAAAAAAUAAAAGUUCAAAUUCAGUAGGUUUCUAUAGUGCAGGACUUAUCAGAGCCUUUAAAAAUGCUGCUAGGAAUUGUGAAUACUCCAGGACAGAGGAUUAAGUGUUUUUCCCCAAACUUUGCUGGCAACAGAACCCUCUCCUUAUGGAGCAUCAUUUAGAACUCUGGAGAGUCUAGGCUGGGGUUUCUGGGGGAAAACUGCAAUUGUGAUAGGAGGUGACAAAACUAGGGCAUACUCAGGUGCUUUGUAGCAUCGGCUGGAAAGGCACUACUUUCCCUGGGAUUGGGGAAUCUGAAUCUGGUUCCAGGGGUCAGGCAAGCUCUGCGCUGUCUUGGGGUGAGGGGAGGCCAGUAGUUGGAGGAGUCAGAGGCCAGGCAGUCUGGGACAGAGGAGCUGUCCACUGGGCAUGGUGGCUCUGGGGCAUCAGAUCCUUCGUGGGAAGAUGCCAGUGUGUGCGUGUGCGUGUGCGUGUGUGUGUGUGUGGCUGAGUGUGACAGAAUCUAGCCUUCCGGGAAUGGGUUGGCCAGAACCAGGCAGGGGGGUUCCCGCCAGAACAAGCAGGGUCCAUUUUCAGGGGAACUGAAGUGUCUGGGGGAGGCUCACAGCAGAGAAGUAGGGAAGCACAACUUCUUUGUAGGGUCUGCGUGGAUAGUCUUGAUUCUGGUGGGGCUGAGGGGCUUGGAGGCAGACCCCCUGCCCUGGUCAGGCCCAGCUCCCUGGCUGAUUGGGGGGCGGGAGGCCUCUGGCGCUGCAGCCGGGCAGUGUUGCAUGGUGUGAUUAACCUACUAACCCAGGGCUCGGCCGGGACGCUGUGGCGUGUGAU
rnacentral:lncRNA from 1 species